rnacentral:lncRNA from 1 species
CCUGUUCAUUGAUAUCCAUUUAUCUGAUUAUUAAAUUAACAACAAUUAGAUACUUACAAUCAACUAAAUCUUAAACAAGAAUAAAAUAUUUUAUCAUUUAAGAAAGUAUUCAAAGGUGAUAACAUUAAUUAAUCCAAGUCAUUGAAAUCAAUCAAUCAAUUUAUCUCCCUUUCAAUGGUAGUUUCCUAGAUCCUUUCUCCCCCUUAAAAACAACACCAUAUUCUAAAAGUAGCAAUUCAUGACUAUCUAUAUUAUUGUAGGGCUAAAUUCAUACCAUUUUUCACAUACAAAUAUCAUCUGAUACAGCUUAUUGUCUUUGUCACAAACACUUCAGAGCAAAUUAGCAUAAAGUUACAUAGCAACAUUACAGACAUAUAUAGCUUGAUAUGGCUCACUGAAUCAAGUAAACUACUCUUGGAACAAGCAACAUUAAGCAAGACUUUGUUCAUCUUCAACAUUCUUAUUUCCUCUUCUUUCUUGGAUGCGGUUUCAAUCUCCUUAGUAAUCAUAAAUCUUGUUCUCACCCUCUUGGGUUGGGUAGUGCCAGAGGUAGUGGGCACUCCCUUUAUCACAAUAUUUUAUCAAAGACAAUUAAAUAUAUAUAUAAAUAUCUAAAUCUAUUAUAUAUACUCUUUAGAUUUAAAUUUGAAUUAUCUAUAUAAGCAUAAAUAACAAUAUAGAGCAAUGGAAAAGAUCAAAUAUGAAUAUCUCUAACCAUUAUUUGAACCAAAUGUCCAAAUCCAAAUAUUGUGACACCACUGACAACAUGUCUUCUAAGCGCUCAAAAACCUCACUAGAUGGAAUGUUUUUGCUUCUUUCUUUCUUUCUUUUUUCUUUUUGAUGUUUAGGGACCUUAAGCUUUGGUAUUUAUAGUGGUGGUUCCCCAUUAAAAACCACUAACUUCAUGUCCUACUCUCACACAAACAAAGGUGUGAAAGUAGUGGAGAACAAAAUGUAGGCACGUGAGAG